AGGACAAACGCUGGCGGCGUGCCUAAGACAUGCAAGUCGGACGGGGGGUUUCGGCCCCGAGUGGCGGACGGGUGAGGAGCGCGUGGAGAACCUGCCCCGGGAUGGGGAUACCAGCCAGAAAUGGCUGCUAAUACCGCAUACGAUUCCCUGCUGGUAAGGGAGGGAAGGAAAGCCGCAAGGCGUCCUGGGAGGGGUCCGCGUCGGAUUAGCUGGUUGGUGGGGUAACGGCCUACCAAGGCGACGAUCCGUAGCU
rnacentral:rRNA from 1 species